rnacentral:rRNA from 1 species
UGAAGACUAACUACUGCGAAAGCAUUUGCCAAGGAUGUUUUCAUUAAUCAGUGAACGAAAGUUAGGGGAUCGAAGACGAUCAGAUACCGUCGUAGUCUUAACCAUAAACUAUGCCGACUAGGGAUCGGGCGAUGUUACUAUCUUGACUCGCUCGGCACCUUACGAGAAAUCAAAGUUUUUGGGUUCUGGGGGGAGUAUGGUCGCAAGGCUGAAACUUAAAGAAAUUGACGGAAGGGCACCACCAGGAGUUAACUUGCUUGCCGCGAGCUCUGCGCCUGAUAGCACGACCCAAUGGGUAGUGGUGUCCCUUGAAACGAUGCUAGUCCCCCUCCUCGGAGGGGGGCAACACGCUUAAACUGCGGGGACCUCCAAGCCUCACCGUCCCAAGCCCGCGCCUAACCGUGCGGGUGGCCGAGCCCAACAGCUCGGGUAGGGGAAAAACCGGGAGAGUGGACGAUCCGCAUCCAAGCCCCCAGACACCACUGGGGGAAGGUUCAGAGACUAGACAAGCGUGGGUCGGCGCAGCGCCGAUUUAAGAUAUAGUCCGUGGUUCGGAGGGCAACCUCCGUUCUGAUCCCUAAACAGGAGCCUGCGGCUUAAUUUGACUCAACACGGGGAAACUCACCAGGUCCAGAUACAAGUAGGAUUGACAGAUUGAGAGCUCUUUCUUGAUUUUGUAGUUGGUGGUGCAUGGCCGUUCUUAGUUGGUGGAGUGAUUUGUCUGCUUAAUUGCGAUAACGAACGAGACCUUAACCUGCUAAAUAGCCCGGCCCGCUUUGGCGGGUCGCUGGCUUCUUAGAGGGACUAUCGGCUCAAGCCGAUGGAAGUUUGAGGCAAUAACAGGUCUGUGAUGCCCUUAGAUGUUCUGGGCUGCACGCGCGCUACACUGACAGAGCCAACGAGUUUUUUUCCUUGGCCGGAAGGUCUGGGUAAUCUUGUUAAACUCUGUCGUGCUGGGGAUAGAGCAUUGCAAUUAUUGCUCUUCAACGAGGAAUGCCUAGUAAGCGCAUGUCAUCAGCAUGCGUUGAUUACGUCCCUGCCCUUUGUACACACCGCCCGUCGCUACUACCGAUUGAAUGGCUAAGUGAGGCUUCCGGACUGGCUCCAGGAGGUCGGCAACGACCACCCAGAGCCGGAAAGUUAUCCAAACUUGGUCAUUUAGAGGAAGUAAAAGUCGUAACAAGGUUUCCGAGGAACAGUGAUCCCU